rnacentral:rRNA from 1 species
UCCUACGGGAGGCAGCAGUGGGGAAUUUUGGACAAUGGGGGCAAGCCUGAUCCAGCCAUGCCGCGUGCAGGAAGAAGGCCUUCGGGUUGUAAACUGCUUUUGUACGGAACGAAAAAGCCCUGGUUAAUACCUGGGGCUGAUGACGUACCGAAGA